rnacentral:rRNA from 1 species
CGUGUAUGAAGAAGGCCUUCGGGUUGUAAAGUACUUCUAGACAGUGAGGAAGGUGGGUAUGGUUAAUAGCAUACUCAUUUGACGUUAGCUGCAGAAGAAGCACCGGCUAACUCCGUGCCAGCAGCCGCGGUAAUACGGAGGGUGCGAGCGUUAAUCGGAAUUACUGGGCGUAAAGCGCAUGCAGGUGGUUUGUUAAGUCAGAUGUGAAAGACCCGGGGCUCAACCUCGGAAUUGCAUUUUGAAAACUGGCAAACUAGAGUACUGUAGAGGGGGGUAGAAUUUCAGGUGUAGCGGUGAAAUGCGUAGAGAUCUGAAGGAAUACCGGUGGCGAAGGCGGCCCCCUGGACAGAUACUGACACUCAGAUGCGAAAGCGUGGGGAGCAAACAGGAUUAGAUACCCUGGUAG